UACGUAGGGGGCAAGCGUUGUCCGGAUUUAUUGGGCGUAAAGAGCGUGUAGGCGGCCAGGUAGGUCAGCUGUGAAAACUCGAGGCUCAACCUCCAGACGUCGACGGAAACCGUGUGGCUAGAGUCCGGAAGAGGAGAGUGGCAUUCCUGGUGUAGCGGUGAAAUGCGCAGAUAUCAGGAAGAACACCAAUGGCGAAGGCAGCUCUCUGGGACGGUACUGACGCUGAGACGCGAAAGCGUGGGGAGCGAACAGG
rnacentral:rRNA from 1 species